AACGAACGCUGGCGGCAGGCCUUACACAUGCAAGUCGAACGAGAUCUUCGGAUCUAGUGGCGCACGGGUGAGUAACGCGUGGCAAUCUACCUAUCACUCUGGAAUAACAGUUAGAAAUGACUGCUAAUGCCGGAUACUCCUUUCGAGGGAAAGAUUUAUCGGUGAUAGAUGAGGCCGCGUAUGAUUAGCUAGUUGGUGGGGUAAUGGCCUACCAAGGCGACGAUCAUUAGCUGGUCUGAGAGGAUGAUCAGCCACACUGGGACUGAGACACGGCCCAGACUCCUACGGGAGGCAGCAGUGGGGAAUAUUGGACAAUGGGCGCAAGCCUGAUCCAGCCAUGCCGCGUGAGUGAUGAAGGCCUUAGGGUUGUAAAGCUCUUUCAAUAGGGAAGAUAAUGACGGUACCUAUAGAAGAAGCACCGGCUAACUUCG
rnacentral:rRNA from 1 species